GAUGAAACUGACAACUUUCAUUGAAAGUUGACUAAUUAAUCUUCUGUAAUGCUAUUAUGAGGGUUACCCUUUGAGGUUUAUAGCGAUAGGCCGUCCUAUGAUUAGUCACAUGAUUUUGU
rnacentral:sRNA from 1 species